UACAUUUGCUAUACUCUUUUGCUGUCCCUGGAUGCUUGAGAAAAGGAUCAUUUCGGUUCUAUUCAAAUGAAGGUACAUUUUUUAAAGGGUGGAUUCCUCUAAGACGAAAAGACGAUAAUGGUUCACUCUGGAGGCUAUCACCAUACCCUUUAUUAUGUGAAAAACACUUCAAUCUAGAAGAUUUCCAAGUGCCAAGGAAACUCUAGGAGAUGUAUUCCCAGGUCUCCUUUACUUGGUCACAAGAUAGUAACAAAAUUAAUAUUGAUGACAACAGCAUGAUCAUGACUCCCGAUCAAUACUUGUAGUUGCUAGUGGAUGAGGUAUCAGACUGCGAACAUUAACGAGGGUAUUUUAACUCCAAUACAAGACGAAGUUAACCAAUCAGAUCCGUUGACCACAAAGGAUCAAUAUGUUCAAAUUACCUGUACUGAAGAUGAACUCCUUCGACCUCUGAAAAAUGUUAAAACGCAUUUUUCUUAUAAAACUUUAUUUAUAUUUUUUAAGAGGAAUAUUUAUCCAUCUUUAAAAUAUCCGUGACCUAUCCUAUAAACUAGCGUGAAUUUGACUAUAGCCAAUUCAAUUUAUUUGAGCAAUCUCCUACUACACAGGACUGAGUAACUAGAUUCACUUCAAAUGUUUGUAUUUUUCUCUUGGACUGGUUGUUGAUCAUCCAAACUAUAAAAAUGAGUCCUUAAGCCGAGAAGACAAGUUAUUCCUAACAUGGAUGAAGUUACGCCAACAAAGAUGAUAUUGAGAUUGGCAUUAUGUUUAAAAUGCACUGUUCUUGCCCAAUGACAUCAUAGACCUAUACAUGUCAGAGGAGUAGGUCGAAGUUCCCAAAUACGAAAUGAUCUUGUAUGCCACUAAGGUAAAAUCAACAAACCAAGUAAUGUUGCAGAUCAAAGAGUUCCUAACAGAAAAUUAAUACGGUAAAAGUUAUGGUAACAAUUUGUCCGAGAGGUGUUGUCACCUACAUAUCACUUGUUUAUGGUGGCUCCUGUAGUGAUCGCCAAGUAAUUGAAAUAUCAGAUAUAUCAAAGAAAAAACUACUGACUUCAGGAGAUGCAAUCAUGGCAAAUAGAGGGAUUAUGGUGCAUGACUUAUUAACCAAUCAAAAUGUUAAAGUGAAUACUCCAACUCCUAUGAAAGGGAUUAAUCAACUUCCGGGAGCAACAGUCAUUAACGACAGAAAAAUUACUUCUAAAAGAAUACAUGUUGAGAGGAUCAUUGGACUGGCCAAGACCUAUAAAAUACUUCAAGGGGAACUCGACCGCCAUAAACUCCCUUGGCAGGAUGGAUUAUUUAUGUGUGUUUUAUUUGUUGCAACUUUAGAAAAAGCUGUGUAUCUCUAAGUGCAUUAAAUUUAUUUUUAUACUGAAA
rnacentral:lncRNA from 1 species